GAUGAACGCUGGCGGCGUGCCUAAUACAUGCAAGUCGAGCGAACAGACGAGGAGCUUGCUCCUCUGACGUUAGCGGCGGACGGGUGAGUAACACGUGGAUAACCUACCUAUAAGACUGGGAUAACUUCGGGAAACCGGAGCUAAUACCGGAUAAUAUAUUGAACCGCAUGGUUCAAUAGUGAAAGACGGUUUUGCUGUCACUUAUAGAUGGAUCCGCGCCGCAUUAGCUAGUUGGUAAGGUAACGGCUUACCAAGGCAACGAUGCGUAGCCGACCUGAGCGGGUGGUCGGCCACACUGGAACUGAGACACGGUCCAGACGCCUACGGGACGCAGCAGUAGGGAACCUUCCGCAAUGGGCGAGAACCUGACGGAGCAACGCCGCGUGAGUGAUGAAGGUCUCCGGAUCGGAAAACUCUGUUAUUAGGGAAAAACAAAUGUGUAAGGAACUAUGCACAUAUUGACGGUACCCAAACAGAAAGCCACGGCUAACUACGUG
rnacentral:rRNA from 1 species